rnacentral:lncRNA from 1 species
CAGGAACAGAUGCAUGGAUGCAGAUAAGAAAUAUGUGACAAUGUUCCUUUAGGGAUCAACGUUUAGGAAUGUGAGCCCCAAAGGCAGGAGAGAAGUAGAGUAUGAAGUUGAGCAGAAAGCAGAAUGAAGGAGGAUUAGAAUUUGAGAAAAGAAUGUCAGGAUGAGAUUGUCUGAGGCAGUAGGGGUAGAAAUAGAGGGAUCAUGUGAACAAGUUUGGUAAGGAAAUAGAGAAGAGAUGUGGGCUGAAGGGGCCAACAGUUAAGGUACAGAGGGCAGAUUCAGUUGUGAUGGAGCCAUGGAGAGGUACAAAAAUAGAUAACCACAGAAUUAAUAAGCAACCAAAGUCUAUAUAAGUCUGACAAAGAGACACAUCAGUGUCAGAAAUGUCUACUGAUGGGUAAUGGUUACCUACACAUGGAAACUGGAAGCCAGCUCCAAGGCUAGCCCCUGGAGCCUGAGCCAACCAUGCCAGACACUGACCCGUAGGGACAGCUAGUGUCCCUGCUCUGAUCUGAUCACUAGUGGGGACACUAGCCGGGCAGCCCCUUCCUGAAAGACACUGUUGUGGGCAGAGUAAAAUGAGCCUCCCUUCAACAUCAUCAUCAGCAAACCAGUGAUGCACAGCUGGAUGGCAUAUUAUUCAGGCAGAAAGGAAAAAGUCCCUUUCUCAGGGUGGACUCAUCUCCACAGUGGUUGGGCAGGGCUGACUGCUAAGCCCACGUGGGUCCUGGCCCUGGUAUCCUUGUGCAACGCCCCCCAACUGUCCAGCCAUGUGAAGCAUUCCUGCCUCAGGUAUCGUGCAUGACUAUAAUACAGGCAUGAAUCAGAUGAAACCCCACUUAAGGCCAAGAACCUGGCCCGGACUGAAGCUGGUGAGGAUGGGCAAUCAGAUGACUGGCCUGUGGCAGAGCAGUGCUCCAUCCAUCUAGCACCAUCCAGAAAUCUAUGUAUACCUCUGUAUGUAAAUUCAUUCCUAAAAAAGAGAGAAAGCUCAUUAACGAGUGAAUACUUUUCUA